rnacentral:rRNA from 1 species
GACGAACGCUGGCGGCGUGCUUAACACAUGCAAGUCGAACGAUGAUGCCCAGCUUGCUGGGUGGAUUAGUGGCGAACGGGUGAGUAACACGUGAGUAACCUGCCCUUGACUCUGGGAUAAGCGCUGGAAACGGCGUCUAAUACCGGAUACGACCUGCCCCGGCAUCGGGUGUGGGUGGAAAGUUUUUCGGUCAAGGAUGGACUCGCGGCCUAUCAGCUUGUUGGUGAGGUAAUGGCUCACCAAGGCGACGACGGGUAGCCGGCCUGAGAGGGUGACCGGCCACACUGGGACUGAGACACGGCCCAGACUCCUACGGGAGGCAGCAGUGGGGAAUAUUGCACAAUGGGCGAAAGCCUGAUGCAGCAACGCCGCGUGGGGGAUGACGGCCUUCGGGUUGUAAACCUCUUUUAGUAGGGAAGAAGGACUUCGGUUUGACGGUACCUGCAGAAAAAGCACCGGCUAACUACGUGCCAGCAGCCGCGGUAAUACGUAGGGUGCAAGCGUUGUCCGGAAUUAUUGGGCGUAAAGAGCUYGUAGGCGGUUUGUCGCGUCUGCUGUGAAAACCCGAGGCUCAACCUCGGGCCUGCAGUGGGUACGGGCAGACUAGAGUGCGGUAGGGGAGAAUGGAAUUCCUGGUGUAGCGGUGGAAUGCGCAGAUAUCAGGAGGAACACCGAUGGCGAAGGCAGUUCUCUGGGCCGUAACUGACGCUGAGGAGCGAAAGCAUGGGGAGCGAACAGGAUUAGAUACCCUGGUAGUCCAUGCCGUAAACGUUGGGCGCUAGAUGUGGGGACCUUUCCACGGUUUCCGUGUCGCAGCUAACGCAUUAAGCGCCCCGCCUGGGGAGUACGGCCGCAAGGCUAAAACUCAAAGGAAUUGACGGGGGCCCGCACAAGCGGCGGAGCAUGCGGAUUAAUUCGAUGCAACGCGAAGAACCUUACCAAGGCUUGACAUAUACCGGAAACUUCCAGAAAUGGUUGCCCCGCAAGGUCGGUAUACAGGUGGUGCAUGGUUGUCGUCAGCUCGUGUCGUGAGAUGUUGGGUUAAGUCCCGCAACGAGCGCAACCCUCGUUCUAUGUUGCCAGCACGUCAUGGUGGGAACUCAUAGGAGACUGCCGGGGUCAACUCGGAGGAAGGUGGGGAUGACGUCAAAUCAUCAUGCCCCUUAUGUCUUGGGCUUCACGCAUGCUACAAUGGCCGGUACAAAGGGCUGCGAUACCGUAAGGUGGAGCGAAUCCCAAAAAGCCGGUCUCAGUUCGGAUUGAGGUCUGCAACUCGACCUCAUGAAGUCGGAGUCGCUAGUAAUCGCAGAUCAGCAACGCUGCGGUGAAUACGUUCCCGGGCCUUGUACACACCGCCCGUCAAGUCAUGAAAGUCGGUAACACCCGAAGCCAGUGGCCUAACCGCAAGGGGGGAGCUGUCGAAGGUGGGAUCGGUGAUUAGGACUAAGUCGUAACAAGGUAGCCGUACCGGAAGGUGC